ensembl:lncRNA
CUCCAUAUACAAAUCAAAACUUCUAUUACAUUUCUAUUUCUUCAACCUUUUAAAUAAAUUCAGAUUUGAGCUUCUUUAACAUUUCACAGCAAAUCCUGCAACAUGCAGCAAUCAAAUGCAUUUUCCUCCCCAUUUUUUCUUCUACUUUAAUAAUCCCAGAAGGGAAAUUGCUUAAGACUGCCAGUAAGUUAGGCAGUGCGGUAAAGUGCCUUGUCCAAGGACACACAACAAUGACUAGGGAGGAGUUGGGAUCGAACCACCAACCUUCAGGUUAUUGGACAACCUGCUGCCCCCGAUAAUAAUAUAACUAUGAAGUAUAACAUCAAAUACAUGUCUAAUUCAAAACAAAACAAAUUCCAAAGAUGCAAAGCAGCGGGUGGCAUGGCAACAGAUGCUAUAUAAGGCCUGCUGACCCUACAGGCGCUUCUUUUUGCACUUGACCUGCGACCAGAGCAGACCUGCGCAAAAAACCUGUGGAAGCUAACGCUGAAGCUAAAGCGGAUUAUCGACACCCAGAGGACUAUCAACAGAGCUCACUGCCAACAACUUCAGGACCACCUAUCACCUUUACCAGCAGAAAGUGUUGGACAACACUUGGAGCAUCGGCACCCCGGAUAGCAUAGGCCUAUCUCCAGAAAGCCGGAUUUUACAGGUCAACUUGUUCCUGAUGGCCACCAGCGGACCCCGCUGCCAGCUGCCUCUGCUGACCGCCAUGGAGGACCGGAGGGCUGAGGAUGUCGGCUCUGUCAUUGAGUGUCCCCCAGCAGACCUUCCUGAGGACAUCUGGAUGUUAGAGGACACUGAUGACAACCGUGUCCCAGUCCUCAUCUCUUCUGAUGAAGAAGAUGAGGGUGAGGACGACCAUGGAGAGGAGGAGCCUCACGACGUGGGAGAUGUCCUGAAUGACCGGUGGGAUGAUGUGGACCUUCCUUUAGCCUUUGGUAAACUGGAGAUUAUGCAGGAGGAGGAGGAUGACAUGAAGGACUCAGAGGAGGAGGACCGGGCCAGUGAGGAUUCCGGGUACAUGACUGAGAACUCCAAAUACUCUGAGGAUGAGGAUGAUGGGGAUGACAUGAGACCUAGUUUUCCUGCCCAGCAGGUCCUGUCACAUGACCUGUUAGAGGCAGGGAGACCUGAGAGUCCCAAUGAUAUCCCUGUCAUUUUGGAUUCAGGUGUUCGUGAGGUGGGGACCCUCCCUCCACACUUGGUCGGUGCUGCCGCUCCUCGGGUCAGGUUUUACUUUGAGAGCAUUGGUAGCGUCCCCUCUGAGGAGCCUGCUGCCAAGCGAUCAAAGUGUGAGUCCCCUGAGGAGUCCACGCCCUCCUCUUCAGCUGUCAUUUCCACUGCACCAAGGAUGGAGGAGGACUACAGACACUCCGCACCCUCCACUGCAGGCCUCAGCUCCUCGCUCCCGGGGAUAUGCUUCGUCAGCCUCAGGCCUCGGGCGUGGCCCAUUCGGUCCUAG